CUCAGAUUGAACGCUGGCGGCAGGCCUAACACAUGCAAGUCGGGCGGUAACAGGGGAAGCUUGCUUCCUGCUGACGAGCGGCGGACGGGUGAGUAAUGCAUAGGAAUCUGCCUGGUAGUGGGGGAUAGCCCAGAGAAAUUUGGAUUAAUACCGCAUACGCCCUACGGGGGAAAGCAGGGGACUCUUCGGAGCCUUGCGCUAUCAGAUGAGCCUAUGUCGGAUUAGCUUGUUGGUGAGGUAACGGCUCACCAAGGCGACGAUCCGUAGCUGGUCUGAGAGGAUGAUCAGCCACACUGGGACUGAGACACGGCCCAGACUCCUACGGGAGGCAGCAGUGGGGAAUAUUGGACAAUGGGCGCAAGCCUGAUCCAGCCAUGCCGCGUGUGUGAAGAAGGCCUUAGGGUUGUAAAGCACUUUCAGCGAGGAGGAAAGGAUGGUUGCUAAUAUCAGCCGUCUGUGACGUUACUCG
rnacentral:rRNA from 1 species